UGCUCAGUUUACAAGACUCCCAGUCGCUAUUCGAUUAGUGUCCAGCGCAUUGCUCUAGAAAAAUGGACUGGACUUGGUUUUCAACUGCGCCAAAUGCGAUUGGAAUCACUGCAGCCGUUUUACUAUGAUACUGCGUAAAGAAAUUGUUCUUCACUUCCAGCAGUGGAGGUCUCCUUUUGCUGAGGAUUCAAGGACUCCUUUGACCCCGCUGGAAAUUGACCAAACUAAACGCGACGAAGUUUUAAAAAGAGCGUUUACUAAGCAGCUGGCCACUGAGAAGAAAUGGGACGCCAUAGUCAUAGGAUCCGGAAUAGGAGGGAUGUCCACUGCAGCGCUACUAAGCAAAGCAGGAAUGAAAGUGUUGGUUCUCGAAAAGCACUACAAAUGUGGCGCUGUCACACUUUCAAAAAGCAAGGCUACGAAUUCGAUGUCGGAAUUCACUACGUGGGCAACUUCAUCCGCCCGACUCUGACUCGAACUCUUGUGGAACAAAUCACUGACGGGCAAAUCCAGUGGGCUCAACUCGACAGCGGCUUUGAUCGUGUGAUCAUGAACUCCACGUCUCCACAACGGCGCGAUUGCAGCGUUUCUUCCGGAAAGGACGCUUGGAAAAAUCAACUUCUGAAGGAGUUUCCCGGCGAAAGAAAAGCCAUCGAACAUUCUUUUCCCUGCUGAUGCGAGCAAACCAUCCGUUGGGAUACUCGCUAGGAUUGUAUGCAUUUAAAAUUCUCCCACUGUGGCUCGUCAAAGUGAUGUGCUUCUUGGGUUAGCCGCGUGUCGUCUGAGUGAUUACUUUGUAUUAAACAAACGCUCAAUCGAAGAAGUUGUCACGAGCCUAACGGACAACAGCGAUCUUCAGUUCCUGCUCAACUACAGCUCCGGAGGCGUCCGGAGGUUAUGGCGUGAGUGCGGAUCGCGCAUCUGUUUCCAUGGCUGCUUUCCUGCACGCCCACUGCUGUGAAUUUGGGUCUUGUUAUCCGGUCGGUGGAGCCUCGGAAAUCCCAUAUUGAAUCAUCCCGGUCAUAGAGCGAUCAGGUGGCCGAGUGCUCAUGAAGGCCCACGUAUCUCAGAUUCUAACCGAAAACGGACGGGUGACGGGCGUACGGGUCGGCCAAAAAAAACAGUCGGCUGUCGACUUAUACGCUCCCAUUGUCAUUUCUGAUGCAGGUCUUCAAAACACGUUUCAGGAUCUUCUUCCGGAAAAUGUCGCCAAAUUGUCACCCAGCUGGUCGUUAGCGAAUUCUCUUCCAGCUGCGUUGGGGAAUUUAACCGUUUUCAUUGGACUCAAAGGCAUUCCUGAAGAACUGGGUUUAACCGGUUUAACAGCGCAAAAUGUCUGGAUCUUCACCGACUUCCAUCCAAUAAAUAAUGUAUUGAUCUACCGCUUCAGGCAUCAGGCAGAUCUAAUUGGUGGCUGAUGUGAUUUGUGAAUUCCAAUUUUACUUUAGGAGCUCAAAGAUAACUAGGCUAUAAUGAGGCUACUUUACAACGUUUUUGCACCGAUCCGUAUAUCCGGCAAUUUUCAUUUCAUCCGCCUCCGCCAAAGAUCCUUCGUGGGCCAAAAGAUACCCUGACCGGAGUACCAUAUCGGUCGUGUCUUUCAUCCCUUACUCUUUUUUCGCCAAUUGGUCUCACCUGAAGGCAAAGAAACGAGGCGACGACUACAACGCCUUGAAAAAUGCCAUCGGACUGCAGAUUAUCGAUCAAGUGACUCGCCAGUAUCCUAAGAUAAAGAACGCGAUCGAUUAUUUUAGCGUUGCAACUCCGGUUACCAUUGAGCACUACCUCAACACCAAAAAAGGCGGGACUUACGGAUUGGAACACGAUAAGGAACGUUUUGACCCAGAAAUGUCAUCUGUGCUGCGUCCCGAAUCUGGCAUUGAAGGAUUAUUCUUUAGCGGCCAAGACGUGACAACGUGUGGAUUCGCUUCUACCAUGCUCAGCGGCCUGUUGUGCGCUGGCGCUGUCUUAAAGAAAAAAUAUUCCAUCGCGUUCGAUCUCCUUUCGUUACACACGAAACUGUCGGGCAGACCUGAAAACCUCGACAGUUUAUUUUUUCUAAUAGCUGCGCAAUGCGCAUCGUUGUUUUUUUGUCAUUUGAAAGAAUUGGGUGCAAUAAUAUUAGUUACUAUAAAUACAUUUCCGAACAAAUAAUUCGUUGACUUUGUUUGCCAUUUUCCGUCCCUCCCACUCAUACUUCCAACGAUAUCGAUAAUGAGUGCGGUGCAACUAAGAAUUGGAAACUACAUGGCAGAAUUUAAUAAAAUGUUCCUGU